ensembl:lncRNA LINC01704 long intergenic non-protein coding RNA 1704
UCCUUGUCCUGGGCUGGCCUCCAACUUGGAACGCCGGCGAACCGCCUGACCUCUUCCGGCGGCCUCAGCCUGGGACGCAUGCGCACAUCGAGGCUCCCCGACAUCAGGCGCGGGUCUUUAAUUACAUAUUUUGCUAUGCUCCAGGCUAUGCAUUUGGAACAGUGCUUUCCUUUUUAUCUUUAUUUUGUUUCUUUUGCUUAACUUCGGGAUGCAGCAAUGAAGUGUUAUUAAAAGAGCCCUAAAGCUGAGAGUGAAAUUUGGACUCUGUAACAAACCAGCUGUGGGGUCUUAAGCAAGUCACUUAAACGUGGGGACCUCGGCCUCCAAACCAGAUGACACUCGAGGCACAGCCUGCCUCCUAUCGCUGCUGGAAAGACUGUGGAAAUGGUACUGUUGGUGCCCAUAGACCUCCAGACCCCCAUGGGACAGCAGCUGGGCAUUCCUCCACCAUUGAAUGAAGUGUGAGCAGGGACUGGAAACCGGACAGCAAUUCUAGGGCCAGUUGGAAGGAGAGGCUUCCAGAUACAGCCCUCUAGGUCAUCCAGAGGUGCCAGCCAGCCCUCACCAGUGGUCAGCUUUUCCUCAGUGGAGUGGUAGGUGAGCCAGUGGAGCUUGCUCUGAAGAUACUAGAGGGAGCCAAAGCUGUCUGGCCCUUCAGUGUGACUCAGUUUCCAGACUCUUUCUCUUUAGACAUAAAUGAAGAACAAGUCAACCUUGAUGCCUUUGAGGGUUGGUUCAGCGGAUGAUGUGUUGUGGGGUUUUCCCACAGGUCAGCAGUCCAACUACCAGGGCCAGAGCCCCAUCAAAGAAUCUUCAGUGCCAGCCAGAAAGAAUGAUGAACUCCUCGUGUAAAGGGAGUUUGGGGCAACCAGUCAAACCAUGGCCUCAUGGGAAGCAGCUGACUAGGCAAUGAGAGAGGAAUACAAAAGACAAGGCACUGCGAAGCCAAGUCUGGUUGGGGAGAAGAAACCAAUAUGCCUGAAACAGGGAACCAGAAAGGACUCAGACAAAACUGCUGACAAGUAUGGGGUUUCUUGGGGUAGGUGGUGAAAAUAUUCCAAAAUAAGAUUAUAGCGAUGUUUUAAUAAUCCCCUGGAUAUAAUAAAAAAACAUCGAAUUGUACACUUCAAA